ensembl:lncRNA LOC103693122 uncharacterized LOC103693122
CACUGUGGGUUGAAAAUAACCAUCUCUCCAUUUUGGAGAAAAUCUCAAGUCAGCCCCUCACAACAGUGACUGACCAAGCACACUGCCAUGUGAAGCCAGCUUUGUAGGUCAAGAUUAUAGGCUCCUCACUAACUUACCGACAAUUGUCUCCAGUCAGUCAAUGCAAGCUACUUCAAUGGACCAUGCAAGGCACCUAGUGCACUGCCACUGUCUUGACUGGUCCUCUAAUCACAGAUUGGUGUCAAACCUGUGCAUAGACUGCAAUCAGUAGCCAUUGUGUAAGCCUUUAUCCUAGCACCAGAGGCAGGGACAGGUGGAUCUCUGCAAAUUAAACACCAGCUUGUGGUAUGCAGUGCGUUCCAGUCUAGCCAAUGCAACACAACGAGACCCUAUCUCAGACGGGGGCAGGAGGGGGUGGUAGUGCGCUCUCAGACCACAGUGGUCACCUCAAAUCAUCCAUUCAUUUAGUCCAAGUUCAGUAAAUAAACAUGUACUCACUUAUGUGCUUCUGGCAUGGGCAGGAGUCCAGGAAUAUUCCACGAUGGGCUGGGCAAUAUACCUACCUUGGAUGUCACAAUCUGGCCAGGGAGAGAGGCCAUCACAAUAUGAGCUGCUCUAACCAACCAAGGCCCAGGCUCCCAGCUCCACACCUGUGAUCAGCUCCUUGAUCAGGCCUUUUGGGAUGAAAGCUCCAAGACUGAAAAAUAAAAAGGAAUUACUGUGUA